UCCGUAGGGUGCGAGCGUUAAUCGGCAUUACUGGGCGUAAAGCGUGCGCAGGCGGUUUUUUAAGUCAGAUGUGAAAUCCCCGGGCUUAACCUGGGAAUGGCAUUUGGGACUGCAAGGCUGGAGUGCGGCAGAGGAGACUGGAAUUCCUGGUGUAGCAGUGAAAUGCGUAGAUAUCAGGAGGAACACCGAUGGCGAAGGCAGGUCUCUGGGCUGACACUGACGCUCAUGCACGAAAGCGUGGGGAGCAAACAGG
rnacentral:rRNA from 1 species